GCGCAGUCGUUCUGUGGAUUCGUAUGUCACGACCGGCACACUUCGAAACCAAUGGGCUGCUGACGGAGAUAAAGAUGUGGCGGCAGUCGGUAACAAUUUAUAUCGCCGAAGCGAAGUGCUUAAUAAGCCAUCAAUAUCCCAAUGGUCCUUCCGCCGAAUGUUCGAGAAGAAGGCGUGCGUAGCAACGGUCGUGAACGCCUAACAAACGCGUGGAUAGUGGGGAUAUUGAGGGGUGAUAAAGGAAAAAGAGUCGGAUCCGAUCGAAAGUCAAGUUGUAAGAGCUUCAGUCUUGGAAAGUCAUGGCUGGAGUUCGGAAGUAAACUGUCGUUAGGUGCUCAAAGUCUCCAGAAACUUGUGCAUGGAUUUCGUGUUAUUCAACUAAAUCUUCUCUUCUCUUAUGUUGGUAUGCAUGAUGAUACGGCGCUCCAUAAAGAUGUAUAAAGAUGGCGAUUAUGCCGCUUAGUUGGACCUUGAAGCCCCCAUCAGCGAGCAACAGGAAGAAUUCGAAGAUUUCCAGACCAAGUAAGUCUUCUCGUCAUUUAACAUCCUUAAUAAAAAGCAUCAUGCUUUAAUUACUUUAAUUACCUACCUCACCCCCUUAAAAUUGUUCUAUAACAUCAGUUAGAUUGUGAUUUUAAUGUAAAUUACGAUUAAAAUUGAUACUGUGGUGAAUAGUGUGAGGUUCAAUAAUAUAGAAUAACGAGAGAUUGCUGCUGCAACCCGUUAAAUAUGUUUGGAAUAAAUUAAAUAGAUAUAAAUAAAUAUAAAUACUGUCGAGAGACGCUCGCACAAACGUAUUUGCAAAGAUAGAGUAUGAACGUUGGCGGAUAAUUCGAUAACUCGUCUACUCCGCUAAUCGCUGAUAAUAACUCGGAUAGUAACUCGGAUAAUAACUCACUCGUUCGCGAUCGCGUCCGUUUAUUUAUACUAGUCGGAGGGGGGGGGGGAGAUUCAGAAAAUUUGAAUUCGUCUUAGGUGGACGGUUGCCCAUAACGGCGACAUUGAUUUUUUCCGGAGUUUAUCUAUCGUUAUGUUUCAUGCAUCAAGGCGGCUUUCGUGUUCCAAGGCACAACAACAACAUGAAUCGCUCUCUAUUCGCAUCGUCCUAUGACUCAUAUGCCGCUACAUCACCCCCCCCCCUACCAGUGAUAACGUUAUUAUUAGGUCGUAUUCAAAAAAGUUAUUUAUACUAUUUCUCUUGGUCGUCGCUGUUUUAAAAGUUAGAUACAUACAAUACAUCCGGUGUUCGAUAAUUUACGACUUUUACCCGAAACCAAUCGGAAAAACGGACUUUUCGUCUAGACCGCGUAACGUAUUUAUUCCUGGCGUUUUCUUCCGUGGUUCGGUCGUUAUUGUUUGCACCGCUUCCGUCGCAGGUAUUUGUUUGUCCCAUCGGAAUCAGUACGUUACGAGUUUCGGCGGUUUUCUCCUCCAAGUCGUUCGGUACUAUAUACGCGGGUUUCAAUCGAUCCACGGAAACCGUUACGUCGUGAUUAUUUAUUUUUUUCGUUCGAUUAUUAAUUUUUAAUUUUCGAUUUUUAAUUUUUCGUUCCCUUUUACUACAUUUUAGCGGCCCAUCGUACUGCAGCUGUAAAGGGCCUUCUAUCGCGCCAUGGCGCAAGAAAACAUACUGCGAUGAUUCUAACUGUUCAAAAAUGAAGAUUUUCUUUUCUCCAUGACGCGUAACUGGGUAUGGCCUGACUUUCUCCAUCCGUUCUUUUAGCCGGUUCAACGAGGGCCGAGGCAACGGUUGGCGCUUCCAUAUCAGCAAUGGGAACGGCUUCGGGCCAAUGCGAAAAAUGAUCGAUACACGUUAGAUAAUAUCGAUAGCCUUGCGAAUAUUCCAUUACGAUAAUCUCUAAGUGUAUGUGUUCGAACCGGCCUGCUAACGUUUUGAACGUUCCAACAGCUCUUUCUGGUUUGUUCGGACCAUUCAGUGGACGCGUUACACUUCUUUGUGCCUUUCAAUAAGUCAUUAAGAGGUUGGAGAAUUUUCGCAGCCGCCGGUAUGAAACGUCGGUAGAAGUUGAUCAUACCGAGGUACCUUCGUAGGUCUCCAAUCGUCGCGGGUAACGGUACUUUAACUAUAGCGUCAACGCGUUCGGCUAAUGGUUUUAUCCCCUCGGCAGUUACGGUAUAACCUACGAAUUUUAUUUCGCGCACGCCGAAUUUAAUUUUUUUAGAAACCCGUAUUCGUCUGAGCGUUUAAACAAAAUCCACAAGUGUUCACGGUGUCGUUCUUCGUUUUCGAAUGUGAUCAAAAAGUCGUCUAUGUAUGCGUAGACGAAAUCUAAACCUGUCGUGAUUUCGUCUACGAAUCUGUGACACGUUUGAGCGGCGUUUCGAAGCCCAAACAUCAUGUUGGUCGCUUCGAAAAGACCAAAAGGUGUUGUAAUCGCGGUCUUUACUACGUCUUCCGGCGCAAUUAAUAUUUGAUGGCAAGCGUGAACGAGAUCGAUUUUAGAGAGAACACGCUUACCAUACGAGUUCUGCGCAAAGUCCUCAAUGUGCGGCGUUGUGUACCUGUCCGAAGUGGUGCGGCCAUUCAAUGCCCGAUAGUCGCCACAAGGUCGAAUCCCUCCAUCCUUCUCAGGUACGACGUGUAAGGGUGAUGCUACGGGCCUUGCGAUGGCUGCAUCACGCCUUGCUCUAUCAUGACUUCGAAUUCCGCCCUCGCCAGUGUGAGUCGGUCAGAGGCGAGGCGGCGUGGUUUGGCGUGGAUGCGGGGUCCAGACAUCGUGCUGAUAUGGUGUUGCACACAAUACCGUAGAGAGCUUCUCCGGAAAAUAGGCGGUCUCUGCAAAUCAGGGAAUUUCGCCAGCAGUCUAUGGUACGGUGAUUCUCCAUCGAUGGUUUUACUUGACACUGCGUCGGCUGUGGCGACGAAUCCCUUUGUCGACAGUUGUGUAGUCGUGUCUAGAAGCCGCUUAUUUCGUGGGUAGAUAAGCAACCUGUAAUGGCUCAGGAAAUCGAUGAUAGGCGUUUGCAGAUCGGCCACUACAAAACGCUACCUGAAAGAUCGGCGUAAUGAUAGGUUGAGGGACACGGUAAUGGUACCGUACGUCACAAUCCGCGUUCCAUUUGCCGCGAACAGUUCGUAGUCACUCUUGUUCGCGGGUCACGUACCUUGUUGCGCGUAUAAACACACGUGUCAGCACCGGUGUCUAUCAGAAAUGAAAUGAUCGUUCGAUUACCUGUGACGAAGAUGCGGAGGGUUCCCAAGUCAUCGUCGUAUGCCGCAUUUACAGACAGCUAAUCCCGUUUCCCUGGUUCCAUUUGCACGGGUAACAACAUCUUUGUGCGCAGUCCCGGAAGAUCUGAUAAUAGCACAGGCCGGAGUCGUACGAUCUUUCUCGCGACCUCGAUCUAUUUCGAUUUCUUGAUCUCGAUCGCCGACGCGCACGAUGAUUGAUACUCAGUGCACUCACCUGGGCUCUCAGUUGGUUCAUUUGGUCGCUUAGCGUGUUGAGGAGGGCGAGCCAUGUUCCCUUCGUUCUGCGAGUCGAUUAUUGUUGUUAUCCGUGGAGUAUACUGGUGAUCCUCUCCGAAUUCUUCUGCAAUCACGUCCACUGACCGCAUUAAUUUUUCUGGGUUUGUGCCGCCGAGUGAUAGCGGGCGGGUAGUUGAUUCCUCCACAUCGUGAGGAUGAUAUCAUGCGACGUGGAGGGGUUAGCGAGUUU